rnacentral:rRNA from 1 species
AGCGAACGCUGGCGGCAGGCCUAACACAUGCAAGUCGAACGGACCCUUCGGGGUUAGUGGCGGACGGGUGAGUAACACGUGGGAACGUGCCUUUAGGUUCGGAAUAGCUCCUGGAAACGGGUGGUAAUGCCGAAUGUGCCCUUCGGGGGAAAGAUUUAUCGCCUUUAGAGCGGCCCGCGUCUGAUUAGCUAGUUGGUGAGGUAACGGCUCACCAAGGCGACGAUCAGUAGCUGGUCUGAGAGGAUGACCAGCCACAUUGGGACUGAGACACGGCCCAAACUCCUACGGGAGGCAGCAGUGGGGAAUAUUGGACAAUGGGCGCAAGCCUGAUCCAGCCAUGCCGCGUGAGUGAUGAAGGCCUUCGGGUUGUAAACCUCUUUUAGCAGGGAAGAAGCGAAAGUGACGGUACCUGCAGAAGAAGCACCGGCUAACUACGUGCCAGCAGCCGCCGCUGUAA